GCAGACUGGAAGGGUGGGAAAGAGAUCAAAUUAGAGAAAACCAAGGGAAGAGCAACUGCCAGCCACCUAGGAAAAAGGAGAGAGGCCUAGGUGACAGGACCCCGAGUUGGAGAGAAAGACACACAGAGGGGUGAGUCAGAGGAAAGCUACAGAAGGGUGUGCUGGGGACAGGCGUCAAGAGGUGAGGCUGCCUCAGGGAGAGGAAGCACGGGAGGAGACCUGGCCCAGGAGAGUUUCAGAGGCUCCUCCCAGCAGCGUGCAGUAGUACCUCCUCCCCCAAGAAAUCAGGAUUGUGCAGGAAACACUCUCCUACUUCUCAGUGGCCACUGGAGAGCUCUGAACCCAGCCCAGGGUCAACUGCCCGGCACUGUCAGGCAGUUCCUCUGACUCCACAGCACAUUCUAAUUGCAGUCACUGAAAAGGAAAUCAGGACACAGACAUGAGCACGUACAGAGAAAAGACUGUGCCAGGAGCAGGCUGCCAUCUGCAAGCCAAGGAGAGAGCUCUCAGAAAAAAACGAUCUUGCCGACACCUUCCUUUUGCACUUCCAGCCUCCAGGACUCCUGCAAGUGCUCAGAGGACACCCAACCCUAUGAUCUCAGCCAACUCAUGAAGUUUGAUUUCACAACUUAGUGAUGUCUUCCCAGUGGAAUCCUAAAUGAUAAGGAAAAUGGUAUAGAGCCAAGACUUGAACAUUAACAACCCAGGAGCACAGAAACAGCACAGUUAGCUGAGAGGCGUUAUGGAGAGAAGCAACCGAAUGCACACUGAGCGCUGUGAGAAGUCCACGACAGUGGGGAACAGCGCCCACCGUCACAAAAAGAAAGACCCUCGGCAGGUACUUUAGAGUCACGUUCAUGCUGUAAUAUGUGGGGAAGAAAGACUAUUCCAAAUGGAUCUGGCUUUUUAAAACAAGGGAAUUUUCCUUGCUCUUGGGAACCAGCAAAAUCCAGCUGCUCAUUGAACUGCCUGUCUGGAAUCUCACAAAUUUGCACCUUGAAGUUGUUAAUAAAGGACUAAGUUGAUAAUUCGAACAAACCCUG
rnacentral:lncRNA from 10 species